CGGUUAAGUGAAUAAGGGCGUACGGUGAAUGCCUUGGUACUAGGAGCCGAUGAAGGACGGGACGAACACCGAUAUGCUCCGGGGAACUGUAAGUAAGUUUUGAUCCGGAGAUUUCCGAAUGGGGCAACCCACCAUAUUGAGAAGUAUGGUAUAUACUAAGUGAA
rnacentral:rRNA from 1 species